UACGGAGGGUGCGAGCGUUGUCCGGAAUCACUGGGCGUAAAGGGCGCGUAGGCGGCAUGCCAAGCGUGUGGUGAAAGCCCGGGGCUCAACCCCGGGUCGGCCGUGCGGACUGGCGUGCUCGAGCACUGUAGGGGCGGGUGGAAUUCCGGGUGUAGCGGUGGAAUGCGUAGAUAUUGGGAAGAACACCAGCGGCGAAAGCGCGCUACUGGGCCAUUACUGACACUCAUGGACGAAAGCUAGGGGAGCGAAAGGG
rnacentral:rRNA from 1 species